UUCUCACUGCUUCACAAUGAUUGAUAAUGUGGAGAUGGAAAGAGCAGGAUGUUAUAUUUCACUCUCCGUGCAGCCUGCUGCUGCUUUGGCACUUAGAGUCAUAUGUGAUCGGAAACGACCCUAGAGGAAUCCAUGCUCGGUUUCCAGAUGAAGAAACAGAAUCUGAAACAGAAAUUACUUUUUUUUCAUGGAAGAAGAGGUACAAAGACUGUAGAGAGUCCACCCAGCUCCCAGAAUGCUACCAUAUUUUAUAACCAUGGGAUUUGACAGAACAAACUGCCCCCAGACACCAUGG